GAUGAACGCUGGCGGCGUGCUUAACACAUGCAAGUCGAACGAAGCACUUUAUUACGAUUUCUUCGGAAUGACGAUUUGGUGACUGAGUGGCGGACGGGUGAGUAACGCGUGGGUAACCUGCCUUAUACAGGGGGAUAACAGUUGGAAACGGCUGCUAAUACCGCAUAAGCGCACAGGGUCGCAUGACCUGGUGUGAAAAACUCCGGUGGUAUGAGAUGGACCCGCGUUGGAUUAGCUGGUUGGUGAGGUAACGGCCCACCAAGGCGACGAUCCGAUAGCCGACCUGAGAGGGUGACCGGCACAUUGGGACUGAGACA
rnacentral:rRNA from 1 species